UACCAGCACCCCGAGUGGUCGGGACGAUUAUUGGGCCUAAAGCAUCCGUAGCCGGUUUUACAAGUCCCCCGUUAAAUCCAGCUGCUUAACAGAUGGGCUGCGGAGGAUACGAUAAGACUAGGAGGCAGGAGAGGCAAGCGGUACUCAGUGGGUAGGGGUAAAAUCCGUUGAUCCAUUGAAGACCACCAGUGGCGAAGGCGGCUUGCCAGAAUGCGCUCGACGGUGAGGGAUGAAAGCUGGGGGAGCAAACCGG
rnacentral:rRNA from 1 species